rnacentral:tRNA from 1 species
GGAGGGGUGCCAGAGUGGUCGAUUGGGGCGGUCUUGAAAACCGCUGAGGCCGCAAGGCCUCCGGGGGUUCGAAUCCCUCCCCCUCCG